CCAAAUUUGUAGUUGGGCCUCUACUCCAAUGUCAUAUAUUACAUUUCUUGGGUCUUCUCAUUAUGGGCUAUAUCAUGAUAUUAGAAAGCUUUUUACCAUUGAUAAUUCCCUAAAAUUAUUAUGUUAAAAGGGCAAUAUGAUUAAUGAUUGAAGCAUUAUAGGAAUAUGAUAAAUAUGUAUUAGAUACUUUACUUAUAUAUUUUUCACACUUUAGUUUAUGAAUUAUAUCAUUUUCCUAUUUUCUACAAGAAUAUGAGUGUUAAAGCAAAUGACAAAGGAGAAAUUUAAUUUAUAACUAUGUUGCAUGGCACAUAAUGUGAACAAGGGCUUUUAUACAAUAUGUGACCAUAAAAAUGUAAAACUACAAAGAAGACUUAAUUGUAAAUGUUACAGGACGUAGGGGUAAAAUUGAAAGGUCUAAGGUAGGGCACACAAGCCAAAAGAGGAGAGUUGCUGGUAUCAUGGGG
rnacentral:lncRNA from 1 species